CCAAUCAAACUCGGAGAUAGCUGGUUCUCCGCGAAAUCUAUUUAGGUAGAGCGUCGCACGAAUACCUUGGGGGGUAGAGCACUGAAUGGGUAAUGGGGACUCACCGUCUUACUGAUCCUAAUCAAACUCCGAAUACCCAAGAGUAAUAUGCGGCAGACACACUGCGGAUGCUAACGUCCGUAGUGGAGAGGGAAACAACCCUGACCCUCAGCUAAGGCCCCUAAUUCAUGGCUAAGUGGGAAAGCAGGUGGGACGACCAAAACAACCAGGAAGUUGGCUUAGAAGCAGCCAUCUUUUAAAGAUAGCGUAACAGCUCACUGGUCUAAUUUAAGUUAUCCUGCGGCGAAGAUGUACCGGGGCUCAAGCCAUGAGCCGAAGCUAGGGAUGCAAUUUAUUGCAUGGUAGCGGAGCGUUCUGUGAUAUAGAACGCUGCGUCUUUAGUAUCUUAGGAUAUUUUGGACGCAAUGUUCUGACUGUGAAGCCGGCGCGUAAGCGAUCCGGUGGAGUGAUCAGAAGUGAGAAUGUUGACAUGAGUAGCGACAAACAGGGUGAGAGACCCUGUCGCCGAAAGUCCAAGGGUUCCUGCUUAAAGCUAAUCUGAGCAGGGUAAGCCGACCCCUAAGGCGAGGCCGAAAGGCGUAGUCGAUGGGAACCAGUUUAAUAUUACUGGGCCAGGAGAUGGUGACGGAUCGAAAGCGUAGUGACUCCUUAUCGGAUUGAAGUUGCUGCCGGACGGUUCCUGGAAAUAGCCCUCCAUUAGAUCGUACCCUAAACCAACACAGGUGGACUGGUAGAGAAUACCAAGGCGCUUGAGAGAACUACAUUGAAGGAACUCGGCAAAAUGCCUCCGUAAGUUCGCGAGAAGGAGGCCCCAUCAGAAGGCAACUUUUGGUGGGGGGCACAGACCAGGGGGUGGCGACUGUUUACUAAAAACACAGGGCUCUGCGAAGUCGUAAGACGACGUAUAGGGUCUGACGCCUGCCCGGUGCUGGAAGGUUAAGAGGAGGUGUGCAAGCACUGAAUUGAAGCCCCAGUAAACGGCGGCCGUAACUAUAACGGUCCUAAGGUAGCGAAAUUCCUUGUCGGGUAAGUUCCGACCUGCACGAAUGGCGUAACGACUUCCCCGCUGUCUCCAACAUAGACUCAGCGAAAUUGAAUUGCCUGUCAAGAUGCAGGCUUCCCGCGGUUAGACGGAAAGACCCCGUGCACCUUUACUACAGCUUCACACUGGCAUUAGGUCAGACGUGUGCAGGAUAGGUGGUAGGCUUUGAAACUCGGACGCCAGUUCGGGUGGAGCCUCCCUUGAGAUACCACCCCUGUCUGUCUUGAUGUCUAACCGCGGUCCGUUAUCCGGAUCCGGGACCCUGUGUGGCGGGUAGUUUGACUGGGGCGGUCGCCUCCUAAAGAGUAACGGAGGCGCGCGAUGGUUGGCUCAGACCGGUCGGAAAUCGGUCGUCGAGUGCAAUGGCAUAAGCCAGCCUGACUGUGAGUCUGACAAGACGAGCAGAGACGAAAGUCGGUCAUAGUGAUCCGGUGGUCCCGAGUGGAAGGGCCAUCGCUCAACGGAUAAAAGGUACGCCGGGGAUAACAGGCUGAUACUGCCCAAGAGUCCAUAUCGACGGCAGUGUUUGGCACCUCGAUGUCGGCUCAUCUCAUCCUGGGGCUGGAGCAGGUCCCAAGGGUACGGCUGUUCGCCGUUUAAAGAGGUACGUGAGCUGGGUUUAGAACGUCGUGAGACAGUUCGGUCCCUAUCUGCCGUGGGUGUAGGAGACUUGAUGGGAGUUGCCCCUAGUACGAGAGGACCGGGGUGAACGAUCCACUGGUGGAUCUGUUGUUGCGCCAGCAGCAGUGCAGAGUAGCUAUGAUCGGACAGGAUAACCGCUGAAGGCAUCUAAGCGGGAAGCCCCCCCAGAAACAAGGUCUCCCUUGAGGGCCGUGGAAGACCACCACGUCGAUAGGUCGGAGAUGUAAGUGCUGUAAAGCAUUCAGUUGACCGAUACUAAUUGCCCGAUAGGCUUGAUUUG
rnacentral:rRNA from 1 species